AUUUAAGUAGCUUAUAUUAGAGUAUAACAUUGAAGCUGUUACGGAGAUUUAAAAUCCUUAAAUA
rnacentral:tRNA from 1 species